CAGGAGACUGAAGACGGGACCUUCAUGAGCUGCGGAGGACAAGGCAGGACUGUGAGACCCAACAGGAUCCGACCAGAACCCACACGGAGGAAACAUGGCGGAACGUGGACCGGAACAAAGUUCACCUCUACGGGACCCAUCCUGGCCUCGGGAAUCCUCCGGUUCCUGGAAAACUGCAGGAAAAACCAAGAACUCGGCAAGAAGCGGGUUUAAGCCCAACUGAGCUGCAGGAGGGAAACACACGGAGCGGGUCGCUGGAAAA